rnacentral:misc_RNA from 1 species
AAGUCGUAACAAGGUUUCCGUAGGUGAACCUGCGGAAGGAUCAUUACAGAAAUAAACUUGAUGGAUUGUUGCUGGUUCACUAAUGUGAAUAUUGUGCACGUCUGUCAUUUUUAUCUUUCCACCAUGUGCACCCUGCAUAGGCCUGAUUAUCAGCCUUUGGUUGAUCAAUAUGUAUAUAUUUUGGGAAUUGCAGUUUCGUAAAUGGAACAGCUCUUUCUCUACUAUUCAGGUUCUAUGAUUUUUUUUUAUAAACACCCUGUAUGUUUAUGAACGUUAAUCAAAGGCACUUUUGUAGCCUAUAAACUUUAUACAACUUUCAGCAACGGAUCUCUUGGCUCUC